rnacentral:rRNA from 1 species
GAUGAACGCUGGCGGCGUGCCUAAUACAUGCAAGUCGAGCGAACAGACGAGGAGCUUGCUCCUCUGACGUUAGCGGCGGACGGGCGAGUAACACGUGGAUAACCUACCUAUAAGACUGGGAUAACUUCGGGAAACAGGAGCCAAUACUGGAUAAUAUAUCGAACCGCAUGGUUCAAUAGUGAAAGACGCUUUUGCUGUCACUUAUAGAUGGAUUCGCGCCGCAUUAGCUAGUUGGUAAGGUAACGGCUUACCAAGGCAACGAUGCGUAGCUGACCUGAGAGGGUGAUCAGCCACACUGGAACUGAGACACGGUCCAGACUCCUACGGGAGGCAGCAGUAGGGAAUCUUGCACAAUGGGCGAAAGCCUGACGGAGCAACACCGCGUGAGUGAUGAAGGUCUUCGGGUCGUAAAACUCUGUUGUUAGGAAAGAAAAAAUGUAUAUGUAUCUAUGCACGUCUUGACGGUACCUAAUCAGAAAGCCACGGCUAACUUCGUG